GUCGAGUUCGCACAUAAGUUUACGCCGAGCAUGAGAAUGUAGAUCGACGAGCGAAAAUUCAAGUGGUUUCGUCAGGAAAUUUGGAGUUUGUUACUACAGCCAAUGACACAAAAAAAGGAGGAGUCAGGCUUGGGUGCAUCUGCGGGGGCAGGCUUGCAGAUGGCUUCGAAAGGAAUUCCAGCGUCUGUCACAGCCCACAAAUUCUCCAGAUAAUCAAGUAAAAUUUGCUUCGUCGGUCUGUCGAUAAAAAGAAAUAAUUGUCAAAUAGCAGUAAUGAAGGGAGGAGGGAGGUAUAGAUCACUGAAAAUGGAGAAUGAGUUACUUAACUACUCGAAAUCUACUCAAUGGAAAAAUUACGGUAACUUAAAUGAAAUGUGAUAACGUUCGGGGAUAACUGACUGUUAUGAUUAAAUUUGACCAAACCAUACUUCACUCUUCACAAAAAUUGGCUAAUUAUUUAUUAAAAAAAAAAAAAAAAAUUCAAAUUUUGGGUGCUUGUCUUGGCAAAUGAUGUUAAAUUCUUCGACGUAACUACUUAGUAAAAGGCGUUUGUAUAGUGACAGUGUAA